UUACGGCUAUAUCAUAUUGAAACACAGGUUCCCAUACUAUCCGAAGUUAAGCAACAUUGAGCCUAGUCAGUACCUAGAUGAGUGACCGCUUGCGAAUACCAGUUGCUGUAA